rnacentral:rRNA from 1 species
CGUAGGGGCAAGCGUUGUCCGGAUUUAUUGGGCGUAAAGCGCUCGCAGGCGGCUCGCUACGUCAUGCGUGAAACACCCCGGCUCAACUGGGGAGGGUCGUGUGAUACGGGCGGGCUUGAGGCCAGUAGGGGGAUGCGGAAUUCCGGGUGUAGUGGUGGAAUGCGUAGAGAUCCGGAGGAACACCAGCGGCGAAGGCGGCAUCCUGGACUGGUACUGACGCUCAUGAGCGAAAGCGUGGGGAGCGAUCCGGAUUAGAUACCCGGGUAGUCCACGCCGUAAACGAUGCGGACUAGGUGUCGGGGGUAUCGACCCCCUCGGUGCCGCAGCUAACGCGCUAAGUCCGCCGCCUGGGGACUACGGCCGCAAGGCUA